CCUAGCUCUACCCUUUCCUCUCUUCUCUUUUCAGAGAGGUGAUGGCUACGUGGAUACAGAAAGCAAGUUUCGGAAACUGGUAGCCGCCAUCAAAGCUGCCCUGGCUCAGUGCCAGUGAGACCUGGAGGCAGGGUCCUGAGACCUCCUGGCAGCCGCCUUAUGACAGGAAGGACUGAAAUGUCUCAAAGACCUGUGGUCCUUCCUCGAUGCUCCUGCGGCCACCAAGUCAGGCCAGAGAUCGCCUCUGUGAGGGGGUGUGCCUCCCCAGAAUCCACGUGUGCACACACCCUGCCUUGCCCUUCUGCCCCCUUCCUCACCUCUCCCUGAAUUCCUCGGUGUCUUCCACCUACCCUUUUGCCUUGGUUUCCCUUCUGCAGCUCAGCUGCCAAAUGUUCCCAGUUGAAUAAAAGCUGGAUGAGGCAACUCAAGGCAGAAGCAGUUUAUUUGGGUGACAGUUCAUCCUGGCAGGGAAGCCGACAUAGCAGGAGCUUGAAGAGGCUGGCCACAUUGAUUCUGCUGUUGGGAAGCAGAGAUGGGGCGGGGAAUCGGCUCAGCAGGUGAAGGCCCUUCCUGCCAAGACUGAUAGCUGAGUUCCUUCCUUGCGGCCCACAUGGUGGGAGGAGAGAACCAGCUGCGGCUUAUCCUCUGUCCUCCACUGCCUGCUUUGGCAAGUUCUCUGGAGAGUGCACGCCUGCACGAGCACACAGACAGUUUGCAGACAACAGGCUGGCCUUGAACUUUCUACGUUGCAAAGGACAACCCCUUGAAGUCGAAUCCUGCCUCCACCUCCUGGAUGCUCAGACUUCACGGGCUUCUGCCACUGUUUCCCCCACCCCCAGUAUGUCAUUAAUGUUGAUAGCUACACGAUACCUCAUCAGAGAGAUACCUGCUGCGUUUCGUCUACCAUUCACCUGUUGUGUCUAAACACCCAUGCACAGUUCUUUUGCUGUGGACCAAGGCCUUGAAUUGCUGGGUCUGUAGUCCCAUCCUCCCAUGGCAAAGGUCACAUGAGGACACUUGUAGAAUUUACUUCCUUCUGAAUUGAGGAACUUGGUCCUUCAGCUCAGAAAGGGCAAGGGACUGGAAAAGUUUAAUUUUGUGUCCAAACACGGUCUCCUUAGUACCCAAGCAAAAAGCUACUUGUCGUGGUGUGGUCUUGUACCUCUAACCUGGAGCUGGAGAGGUGAAGAUCUCUGGGGCCAACAAGUACAGCUGAAUCACCCAGUCCACGUUCUGAUGGUCUCAAAAAGCAAGGCAGAGAGCUGGCAAGAUGGCUCAGUGUGUAAAGGUGACUGCUGCCAAGCCUGAAGACAUGAACGCCAUCCCAAGAGCCCAUAUGGUGAAGGAUGAACUUUAGGCCAGCCAUUCUGGACUCCUUGAGAACACACAGUGGUGGAGGCACACACCUUCAUUUCCAGGAACGUGAGGCAGAGGCAGGGGGAUCUCUGAGUUGGAGGCCAGCCUGGCCUACAGAGUAAGUUCCAGGACAGUCAGGGCUCUGCAGAAAAACCCUGUCUCCAAAAGCAAAAACAAAGAUAGACUAAAACCUGAGCCCUCAGUGCCCACUUGUGGCCAUGCCUGGGAACUGCUCCUCAGCUGUUGGCACCAUGGAGCUGAGCAACCAGUCUUUCCCACCGUCUCUGAGUUGCCUGUUCCAGAAGGCCAAGCAAUGGGAAUCAUGCAGUCUAUAGUCUUUUCAGACUUCAGGCAACAGACCUGUAGUCUAUCUACCCUGGUGCCUACCCUAAGUUCAAAGCUGGUAUGGAGUCACAGGCUAAAACUGUCUCGACAUAGUAAAAUGUAUUGGGGAAUCUAGCCAUGCAGAAUACCUCCGUUGGGAAGCAUUCGUCUAGAUUUUUUUUUUCUUUUGGUACAGGGUUACUCUGUAGCUUUGGAGCCUGUCCUGGAACUAGCUCUUGUAGACCAGGAUGGCCUUGAACUCACAGAGAUCUGCACGCCCCUACCUCCCGAGUGCUGGGAUUAGCCACCACCACCUGGUUUAACCAUUUUUUUUUUACAUUUUUAUUUUUUUAAACAAUUUUUAAAAAAUUUUAUAUACUAAUCUCAGUUCCUUCUCCCUCCCCUCCUCCCACACCCUCUCCCCACUCCACUCCACUCCCCAUCCACUCCCAGAAAGGGUGAACCUCUCAUGGGGAUUCAGAGUCUGUCACAUCACUGGAGGCAGGAGCAAGGCCCUCUCCCCGCAUCUAGGCUGAGCAAGGUAUCCCUCCACGGGGAAUGGGAUCCAAAAAGCCAGUUUUUACACUAGGGAUAAAUACUGGUUCCAUUGCUGGUGGCCUCACAAACUGCCCCAGCCACAUAACUAUCACACUCAUUGAUAGGGCUUUAGUUCUAACUUUUUUUUUUAAUUUAAAAUUUGCUUUAUGGGCUGGGUGGUGGUGGUGCAUGCCUUUAAUCCCAGCAUUUGGGAGGCAGAGGCAAGUAGAUCUCUGUGAGUUCAAGGCCAACCUGGUCUACAAGAGUUAGUUCCAGGUUGCUACGCAAAGAAACCCUGUUUUGGGGCUGGAGAGAUGGCUCAGAGGUUAAGAGCAUUGCCUGCUCUUCCAAAGGUCCUGAGUUCAAUUCCCAGCAACCACAUGGUGGCUUACAACCAUCUGUAAUGAGGUCCGGUGCCCUCUUCUGGCCUUCAGGCAUAGACACAGACAGAAUAUUGUAUAC